CAGCUUAUAAAAUUAGUCUUUCUGGAAUCAUUCAGAUCUUUCCUGAUUUCCUUCUACUGACUCUAGACUCACUCACUGCUGAAAGGACUCUGCAUAACCUGAGCCCAUGACUUGACCCCAGCUACUCAUCUGAUAGCAUCGAGGGUGUGGAUCGAUUCUGAGACACUGUGUCUUGCUGCAGCAAGGGAAGAACUCAUCCAUCAUCCACACCAACAUCUGGAAGUGAAUUUGGAGUGGAUGUUUUUUCAGCAGUUGUUUGAAGUUUGAGCCAAUUCUCAUCAAAGACUGAGGAGCUGCAGAUCUUGAGAGUGCUUAAGAUGCCCAAUCGUGGAAUCAAAUUGUAAAGGAUCUCCUCCUGGAGUCUGCCCACACUGGGAAGCUGAAUCUGGCAAAGAAAGAAAAGUUAACUUUGUGGCAUUCCUCCUCACCUUGUCAAGAAUCUAGCAGCCAGGAGGCAGAUGUCUUUCUGGUCGCUUCUGUUCAUGUGACACAAUUCUCAUGGCCGUGACUGAUGUUGGAUGUAUUAAAAAAAAAUCUAAUAAAACCAAAGUCUCUGC